UACGUAGGGGGCUAGCGUUGCUCGGAAUCACUGGGCGUAAAGGGCGCGUAGGCGGUCGUGACAAGUCACUUGUGAAAUCUCCGGGCUUAACUCGGAACGGUCAAGUGAUACUGUCGGACUAGAGUACAGAAGGGGCAACUGGAAUUCUCGGUGUAGCGGUGAAAUGCGUAGAUAUCGAGAGGAACACCUGCGGCGAAGGCGGGUUGCUGGGCUGAUACUGACGCUGAGGCGCGAAAGCCAGGGGAGCGAACGGG
rnacentral:rRNA from 1 species